CCUACGGGUGGCAGCAGUGGGGAAUAUUGGGCAAUGGACGCAAGUCUGACCCAGCAACGCCGCGUGAAGGAAGAAGGCUUUCGGGUUGUAAACUUCUUUUAAGGGGGAAGAGCAGAAGACGGUACCCCUUGAAUAAGCCACGGCUAACUCCGUGCCAGCAGCCGCGGUAAUACGGAGGGUGCGAGCGUUAAUCGGAAUUACUGGGCGUAAAGCGCUCGUAGGCGGUAUGUCAAGUCAAGGGUGAAAUCCCCGCGCUCAACGUGGGAACUGCCUUUGAAACUGGCAAACUGGAGUGUGUGAGAGGAUAGUGGAAUUCCAGGUGUAGGAGUGAAAUCCGUAGAUAUCUGGAGGAACAUCAGUGGCGAAGGCGACUAUCUGGCACAUAACUGACGCUGAGGAGCGAAAGCGUGGGUAGCAAACAGGAUUAGAUACCCUGGUAGUC
rnacentral:rRNA from 1 species